rnacentral:rRNA from 1 species
CGCCCUAGUUCUGACCGUAAACUAUGCCAUCUAGCGAUCCGAUGGGGUAUUGUUGCCUUGUCGAGGAGCUUCCCGGAAACGAAAGUCUUUCGGUUCCUGGGGUAGUAUGGUUGCAAAGCUGAAACUUAAAGAAAUUGACGGAAUGGCACCACCAGGAGUGGAGCCUGCGGCUUAAUUUGACUCAACACGGGAAAACUCACCCGGCCCGGACACCGUAAGGAUUGACAGAUUGAAAGCUCUUUCUCGAUUUGGUGGUUGGUGGUGCAUGGCCGUUCUUAGUUGGUGGAGCGAUUUGUCUGGUUUAUUCCGAUAACGAGCGAGACUCUAGCCUGCUAAAUAGUGGCUGGAUUUUCACGUCCAGUCUACUUCUUAGAGGGAUAAGCGGUGUUUAGCCGCACGAGAUUGAGCGAUAACAGGUCUGUGAUGCCCUUAGAUGUCCGGGGCUGCACGCGCGCUACAAUGGAAGAAUCAGCUGGCCUAUCCAUUGCCGAAAGGCAUUGGUAAACCGUUGAAACUCUUCCGUGACCGGGAUAGGGAAUUGUAAUUAUUUCCCUUGAACGAGGAAUUCCUAGUAAGUGUGAGUCAUCAGCUCACGCUGAUUACGUC